UACGUAGGUGGCAAGCGUUGUCCGGAUUUAUUGGGUUUAAAGGGUGCGUAGGCGGUUUCAUAAGUCAGUGGUGAAAUACGGCAGCUCAACUGUCGAGGUGCCAUUGAUACUGCGGAACUUGAGUACUGAUGAGGUAGGCGGAAUUGACGGUGUAGCGGUGAAAUGCUUAGAUAUCGUCAAGAACACCGAUAGCGAAGGCAGCUUACCAAGCAGUAACUGACGCUGAGGCACGAAAGUGCGGGGAUCAAACAGG
rnacentral:rRNA from 1 species